CCUUGAGCCUGCUCCACCCUCUCUGGGCUUAGCUGGUAAAGUAGAUAACAAGGUGGCUUGGCUUCUGUCCCAGGACACUAUUUGUAUCUUUACCGUGGUUACUUCUUAUUGUGAACAGGCUGGGCACCCCUGUCUCCAGCACCCCACCUCCAAGCAGGCCUAUCCCAGCUGCUUUUGCCUGGAAUAGCUCCUCCUUUACCAGCCUCCAUCCUUCAAAGCCCAGCUCAGGGUUGCUCCCCACCAAACCUCCCUUGACAUCACCCCACCAUUAGAGUUAGCUUGUCUCUCCCUGUAUCCUUGCAGCAAAUCACUCAUCUGUUGUGGGAGAGGCCUGUGCUGGAACUGCUGUACACUCCUAUCUCACUCAAGCCUCAUAACAACCCUCAAGAGAGGUUAUCAGGGCCAUUUUGAAGAUGCAGCCAGCUGUAGGGUUGCCUUUUCCAAUGCAGCCUUCCCUCACUCCCACUGAGAGUAACUGCUCCUUUUCUGCACAUCCUCAUGCCCCAGAAUCAAUGGCCUGACUCUUCUGCUUCUCCAACCAUACUCAGACAUCCUCCUCCAAGUGCCCAGGCCGUGGUCCUGCACAUGGAUCCUUAAUCAGCU
rnacentral:lncRNA from 1 species